CCACUUGCGUUUUUGCACCGGCGCGGCCAUAUUAUCUUCGUCCCGUAAGGGACUAUGGAUGUAGACGGGCUUGUGAAGCUGGAUCGGACGGGGGUGCGAUUCCCCCCACCUCCACCAUUUUACCCUUGGAAACAAGGGCUUGCGGGGGUGAUAUAGGGUCGACGGACGGUGGAGUGAGUACCUGCAUCUCGGUUGGACGCGCCGUUAUCUGCUCAAUCGCAUAGUUGCCAACGACAACCGUGCUCCGGUGGCUCUGGCUGCGUAAGCAGCUCGAACAUCGAAACUUAAGUCCUUGCGCUUAGCCGCGUAAGGCGGGGUUCGCAGGUACCUGGCAACAGAAACCUGCACU
rnacentral:tmRNA from 22 species